AUUGAACGCUGGCGGCAGGCCUAACACAUGCAAGUCGAGCGGAUGAAGGGAGCUUGCUCCUGGAUUCAGCGGCGGACGGGUGAGUAAUGCCUAGGAAUCUGCCUGGUAGUGGGGGAUAACGUCCGGAAACGGGCGCUAAUACCGCAUACGUCCUGAGGGAGAAAGUGGGGGAUCUUCGGACCUCACGCUAUCAGAUGAGCCUAGGUCGGAUUAGCUAGUUGGUGGGGUAAAGGCCUACCAAGGCGACGAUCCGUAACUGGUCUGAGAGGAUGAUCAGUCACACUGUAACUGAGACACGGUCCAGACUCCUACGGGAGGCAGCAGUGGGGAAUAUUGGACAAUGGGCGAAAGCCUGAUCCAGCCAUGCCGCGUGUGUGAAGAAGGUCUUCGGAUUGUAAAGCACUUUAAGUUGGGAGGAAGGGCAGUAAGUUAAUACCUUGCUGUUUUGACGGUACCAACAGAAUAAGCACCGGCUAACUUCGUG
rnacentral:rRNA from 1 species